GGGACACGUGGUAUCCUGUCUGAAUAUGGGGGGACCAUCCUCCAAGGCUAAAUACUCCUGACUGACCGAUAGUGAACCAGUACCGUGAGGGAAAGGCGAAAAGAACCCCGGCGAGGGGAGUGAAAAAGAACCUGAAACCGUGUACGUACAAGCAGUGGGAGCACGCUUAGGCGUGUGACUGCGUACCUUUUGUAUAAUGGGUCAGCGACUUAUAUUCUGUAGCAAGGUUAACCGAAUAGGGGAGCCGAAGGGAAACCGAGUCUUAACUGGGCGUUAAGUUGCAGGGUAUAGACCCGAAACCCGGUGAUCUAGCCAUGGGCAGGUUGAAGGUUGGGUAACACUAACUGGAGGACCGAACCGACUAAUGUUGAAAAAUUAGCGGAUGACUUGUGGCUGGGGGUGAAAGGCCAAUCAAACCGGGAGAUAGCUGGUUCUCCCCGAAAGCUAUUUAGGUAGCGCCUCGUGAAUUCAUCUCCGGGGGUAGAGCACUGUUUCGGCAAGGGGGUCAUCCCGACUUACCAACCCGAUGCAAACUGCGAAUACCGGAGAAUGUUAUCACGGGAGACACACGGCGGGUGCUAACGUCCGUCGUGAAGAGGGAAACAACCCAGACCGCCAGCUAAGGUCCCAAAGUCAUGGUUAAGUGGGAAACGAUGUGGGAAGGCCCAGACAGCCAGGAUGUUGGCUUAGAAGCAGCCAUCAUUUAAAGAAAGCGUAAUAGCUCACUGGUCGAGUCGGCCUGCGCGGAAGAUGUAACGGGGCUAAACCAUGCACCGAAGCUGCGGCAGCGACACUAUGUGUUGUUGGGUAGGGGAGCGUUC
rnacentral:rRNA from 1 species